ACCAGCUCCCCCACUGCCUUCUGUGCUAGGGAUCACUUCCUUGUUGAGUGGGACCUGAGUUUUGAGAGGGUCUUGUGCUCCUCUUCAUCUGGUCCCUUUCCUUCCAAGGCCCCAGAGAGGAAGGCAUGGGGUGGGCCCUAGCCCUGCUUCUCGCUUUGCUGCCUCCUGCCAGUCAGAUAUCUUCCAACUUGGAAGGGAGAAUGAAGCCAGUCACCGGGCGUUUAGUCACUGGGCGUACGGGGUCAUUUGCUGUCAUCGCCUGUGAUCUUCCUGGAGAAAAUACCUUAUACAUCCACUGGUACCUCCACCAGGAGGGGAAGGCCCCACAGCGUCUUCUGUACUAUGACACCUACCAGUCCAAGGCUGUGUUGAAUUCAGGAAUCAGUCCAGGAAAGAAGGAUAAUUAUCUAAUCUUGAAGGGGAGCUGGAAAUUGGUACUGCAAAAUCUAAUUGAAAGUGAUUCUGGGGUCUAUUACUGUGCCACCUGGGACAGGCACAGUGGUUGAGACCUGCCCUACACCACACUGAAAUCUGCCUUGUGGCUGGUUGUGGUACACAAGAUAGAGCUGCCCCUCUCAUUUCCUGCCACUGAAUUUCCUGUAUUCUGUACAGAGAGAAACACAGCUUCACUCCCGAUCUCCUGCUAAUAUCACACUCCCCUGGCAGCAGCUGCACCUGUUCCCACCCCUCCCGCAGGACUUUCCUGAACACCAAGCUGCCAUCUCCAGGCCUCAGCUAAGCAGCCGGCCUGAGAGCAAGGUUUUCUCAGCUCUCCUAGGACACGGGGGAGGCCCACUCACUCUGCUUCCUAUACAGGGACUCCUAGGGUCCAGCUGUGAAACCAGAUAUUUUGCACAGCAAAUGGGAAGGAUAUUUUUACUGAAUCAUGUAUCCAACCAUGGUCCAGAUAUGGCAGGUUAG